AAAUUGAAGAGUUUGAUCAUGGCUCAGAUUGAACGCUGGCGGCAGGCCUAACACAUGCAAGUCGAACGGUAGCACAGAGAGCUUGCUCUCGGGUGACGAGUGGCGGACGGGUGAGUAAUGUCUGGGAAACUGCCCGAUGGAGGGGGAUAACUACUGGAAACGGUAGCUAAUACCGCAUAACGUCGCAAGACCAAAGUGGGGGACCUUCGGGCCUCACACCAUCGGAUGUGCCCAGAUGGGAUUAGCUAGUAGGUGGGGUAACGGCUCACCUAGGCGACGAUCCCUAGCUGGUCUGAGAGGAUGACCAGCCACACUGGAACUGAGACACGGUCCAGACUCCUACGGGAGGCAGCAGUGGGGAAUAUUGCACAAUGGGCGCAAGCCUGAUGCAGCCAUGCCGCGUGUAUGAAGAAGGCCUUCGGGUUGUAAAGUACUUUCAGCGAGGAGGAAGGCGUUGUGGUUAAUAACCACAGCGAUUGACGUUACUCGCAGAAGAAGCACCGGCUAACUCCGUGCCAGCAGCCGCGGUAAUACGGAGGGUGCAAGCGUUAAUCGGAAUUACUGGGCGUAAA
rnacentral:rRNA from 1 species